UGGUGGCGACCGGCGCACGGGAGCCCCCACGCGAUAUAGAACUUACCUUUUACAGAGGGAUAGCCCUUUACAAAUGAAGAUUAAUACCCUCAUAGCAUUGAAAUUUGGCAUCAAAUUUUAAUUAAAGAUUUAUCGGUAAAAGAUGGCUAUGCGUCCUAUUAGCUAGAUGGUGAGGUAACGGCUUCACCAUGGAAACAAUAGGCGGGGGUCCUGAGAAGGGAGAUCCCCCCCACUGGUACUGAGACACGGACCACAACUCCCUACGGGAGGCAGCAGGGGAGGAAUAUUGGUGAAUGGGAGGCAAUUCUGACCCCCCCCCCUGCCGCGGGGAAGGAAAAAAGGGCCCUAUGGAAUUGAAAAACGUGGUUUUUUUUCCGGGAAAAAAAAAACCUCCCGAA
rnacentral:rRNA from 1 species